AACGGGGGGGGCAGGUGUUACUCGACAUGACUGGGCGUAAAGGGCAACUAGGCGGCUCCGCCGGUGGGGGGUUAAAGGCCAGUAAUCUCUGGUGUGGCCCUUCUGACGGCCGAGCUUGAGUUCGGUAGGGGAUAGCGGUACCUCCGGUGUAGAGGUAAAAUUCGGUGAUACCGGAGGGACCAACAGCCGGCGAAGGCAGCUAUCUGGUCCGCAACUGACGCUGAAAGGCAAAAGCAUGGGGAGCAAACAGG
rnacentral:rRNA from 1 species